GGGAGGCAGCAGUGGGGAAUCUUAGACAAUGGGCGCAAGCCUGAUCUAGCCAUGCCGCGUGUGUGAUGAAGGCCUUAGGGUCGUAAAGCACUUUCGCUAGGGAUGAUAAUGACAGUACCUAGUAAAGAAACCCCGGCUAACUCCGUGCCAGCAGCCGCGGUAAUACGGAGGGGGUUAGCGUUGUUCGGAAUUACUGGGCGUAAAGCGUACGUAGGCGGAUCAGAAAGUAGGGGGUGAAAUCCCGAGGCUCAACCUCGGAACUGCCUCCUAAACUCCUGGUCUUGAGUUCGAGAGAGGUGAGUGGAAUUCCAAGUGUAGAGGUGAAAUUCGUAGAUAUUUGGAGGAACACCAGUGGCGAAGGCGGCUCACUGGCUCGAUACUGACGCUGAGGUACGAAAGUGUGGGGAGCAAACAGGAUUAGAUACCCUGGUAGUCCACACCGUAAACGAUGAAUGCCAGUCGUCGGGUAGCAUGCUAUUCGGUGACACACCUAACGGAUUAAGCAUUCCGCCUGGGGAGUACGGUCGCAAGAUUAAAACUCAAAGGAAUUGACGGGGACCCGCACAAAAGGG
rnacentral:rRNA from 1 species